UUCGGUUUCUUCUUCUUCUUCCUCCAUCUGUUUCUACCAAGUAAAAAUGUUGAAGAAAUUCUAAAGUUUUUUCCCCUUUAUCCGGAAGAGCUUUGUAUUACAUGAAGUUUGACGAUUUGAUUGCUAAAAAGUUGAUUGGAUUUUUAAGUUAAAUAUGUUUAUUUGUAAUCCAAUAUAAUUAUCGAAUUAUUGGAUAUGUGAAUCUGGG
rnacentral:lncRNA from 1 species